UACGUAGGGGGCAAGCGUUGUCCGGAAUCAUUGGGCGUAAAGCGCGUGUAGGCGGCCCGGUAAGUCCGCUGUGAAAGUCGGGGGCUCAACCCUCGGAUGCCGGUGGAUACUGUCGGGCUAGAGUGCGGGAGAGGCGAGUGGAAUUCCUGGUGUAGCGGUGAAAUGCGCAGAUAUCAGGAGGAACACCAAUUGCGAGGGCAGCUCGCUGGAGCGUUACUGACGCUGAGACGCGAAAGCGUGGGGAGCAAACAGG
rnacentral:rRNA from 1 species